UACGUAGGGUGCGAGCGUUGUCCGGAAUUACUGGGCGUAAAGAGCUCGUAGGCGGUUUGUCGCGUCGUCUGUGAAAUCCCGCAGCUCAACUGCGGGCUUGCAGGCGAUACGGGCAGACUCGAGUACUGCAGGGGAGACUGGAAUUCCUGGUGUAGCGGUGAAAUGCGCAGAUAUCAGGAGGAACACCGGUGGCGAAGGCGGGUCUCUGGGCAGUAACUGACGCUGAGGAGCGAAAGCGUGGGUAGCGAAC
rnacentral:rRNA from 1 species